AACCUGUCAAAGGUGUGGUGGGACACCUUCCCUUCAGUGUGGAUCCAUGUUUUUCAGUGCAGUGUGUCCAGGUUUCCCUCUCUCUGAAGCAUGUGGUGUUGGGUGAGUCUUGGCCACCUGAAAAGGACAGAAAUCUCUACUGUAAAGUGAAGGAUACAGCUGAACCACCAUCUCAUAAGGUACAGAGAUAUCCAAUCAAAACAUGACUCUUAUGAGCUUAAAGGAGAUUUAGAGCAAAGAAGCAAAUGAUCCUCCUGCCUGAGGAAUUAAAAACCACACUCAAAUGGAAAUCAACUUCCUUUCCAUAGAAAAUUGCUGAGACAAAAUCCAAAGCUUGCUGUCCUAGAACUAAAACAGGCUGGCCAGGAGUUGCUCUCUCUAAAACUUGGAAAUUGUGUUUUGCCUGUUUCAAGUGCCAAGCUUUUUUUACUUCCUAGACUUUCUCAGACUGUGAACAGUGGCUAGGGAUUCAUGUGGAAUUUGGAGUCUCUUUCUUACAAGAGGGGAAAUGCAAACUGGAGGAACCUAAUCUGCAGCUCUCUGGAACUCUACAGCUGAUACUAG
rnacentral:lncRNA from 1 species